GAUGAACGCUAGCGGCAGGCCUAACACAUGCAAGUCGAACGAGAUUAAGAGGCUUGCUUCUUAUGAAAGUGGCGCACGGGUGCGUAACGCGUAUGCAACCUACCGUAAUCAGGGGGAUAGCCCGGAGAAAUUCGGAUUAAGACCCCAUAAAAACACAGGAUAGCAUUAUCCAAUGUUCAAAUAUUUAUAGGAUUAAGAUGGGCAUGCGUGUCAUUAGCUAGUUGGCGUGGUAACGUCCCACCAAGGCGACGAUGACUAGGGGAUCUGAGAGGAUGACCCACCGCACUGGUACUGAGGCACGGACCAGACUGCGACGGAGGGCAGCAGAAAGGAAUAUUGGUCACGGGAGGCAGAUCUAAACAAGCCAUGCCGGGGGCAGGAAGACAGGGCUCGGGGUCGUAAACUGCUUUUAAUCGAGAAUAAUCAGUUCUACGUGUAGGAUGCUGAAGGUACCGAAGGAAUAAGGAUCGGCUAACUCCGUG
rnacentral:rRNA from 1 species